CGGAAUCACUGGGCGUAAAGGGUGCGUAGGCGGCUCUUUAAGUCAGGGGUGAAAUCCUGGAGCUCAACUCCAGAACUGCCUUUGAUACUGAAGAUCUUGAGUUCGGGAGAGGUGAGUGGAACUGCGAGUGUAGAGGUGAAAUUCGUAGAUAUUCGCAAGAACACCAGUGGCGAAGGCGGCUCACUGGCCCGAUACUGACGCUGAGGCACGAAAGCGUGGGGAGCAAACAGG
rnacentral:rRNA from 1 species